AGCAGCCGCGGUAAUUCCAGCUCCAAUAGCGUAUAUUAAAGUUGCUGCAGUUAAAAAGCUCGUAGUUGAAUUUCGGGACCAUCAUGUCGGUCGUGCCUCGGUACGUACUGGUAUUGUUGGUUUCUCCCUUCUGACGAACCAUGAUGUCAUUUAUUUGGUGUUGUGGGAAUCAGGACUGUUACUUUGAAAAAUUAGAGUGUUUAAAGCAGGCUCACGCUUGAAUACAUUAGCAUGGAAUAAUGAAAUAGGACGUUUGAUUCUAUUUUGUGGUUUCUAGGAUCGACGUAAUGAUUAAUAGGGAUAGUUGGGGCAUUAGUAUUCAAUUGUCAGA
rnacentral:rRNA from 1 species